UGAGGAACAUGACCUUCGGCGGGGGAUAGCCGGCCCAACGGCCGGGUAAUACCGCGUACGACCACUUUGGGACAUCCCUGGGUGGUGAAAGCAGCAAUGCGCCGAUGGAGUGCCUCGCGGCCUAUCAGCUAGUUGGUGAGGUAACGGCUCACCAAGGCGACGACGGGUAGCUGGUCUGAGAGGAUGGCCAGCCACAUUGGGACUGAGACACGGCCCAGACCUCCGUACGGGAGCAG
rnacentral:rRNA from 1 species